rnacentral:rRNA from 1 species
GUGAGGAAUAUUGCGCAAUGGAGGCAACUCUGACGCAGCCAUGUCGCGUGCAGGAAGAAGGCGCUACGCGUUGUAAACUGCUUUUAACCGGGAAGAAACCCCAGGACGUGUCCUGGGUUGACGGUACCGGAGGAAUAAGCACCGGCUAACUUCGUGCCAGCAGCCGCGGUAAUACGAAGGGUGCAAGCGUUAUCCGGAUUCAUUGGGUUUAAAGGGUGCGUAGGCGGAGCGUUAAGUCAGUGGUGAAAUCCUGCAGCUUAACUGUAGACUUGCCAUUGAUACUGGCGCUCUUGAGUGCGCUUGAAGUGGGCGGAAUGUGCCGUGUAGCGGUGAAAUGCUUAGAUAUGGCACAGAACACCAAUUGCGAAGGCAGCUCACUAAGGCGAUACUGACGCUGAGGCACGAAAGCGUGGGGAUCGAACAGGAUUAGAAACCCGGGUAGUCC